ACGUUGGCGGCGUGGAUUAGGCAUGCAAGUCGUACGGGCCGCAAGGCCAGUGGCGCAAGGGUGAGUAAGGCGACGGUAACCAACCCCGUGAUCGGGUAUAGCCGCGGGAAACCGCGGGUAAUCCCCGGCGACGUCACACCGGAGGCAUCUCCGGCUGACCAAAGCCCCGGCGUCGCGGGACGGGCCGUCGUGCUAUUAGCUUGUUGGCGGGGUAACGGCCCACCAAGGCGAUGAUGGCUACCGGGCGUGCGAGCGUGGCCCGGCACACUGGGACUGAGACACUGCCCAGACUCCUACGGGAGGCUGCAGUCGAGAAUCUUCGGCAAUGGGCGCAAGCCUGACCGAGCGACGCCGCGUGGAGGACGAAGGCCUUCGGGUUGUAAACUCCUGUCGAGGGGGAAGAAGGGGUCGCAAGGCCCUUGACUGAUCCCUGGAGGAAGCACGGGCUAGGUUCGUGCCAGCAGCCGCGGUAAGACGAACCGUGCGAACGUUAUUCGGAAUCACUGGGCUUAAAGCGCGUGUAGGCGGGACGGCACGUCGGUCGCUGAAAUCCCCCGGCUUAACCGGGGAACGGGCGCCGAUACGACCGCCCUGGAGGGACGUAGGGGGACCUGGAACU
rnacentral:rRNA from 1 species